rnacentral:rRNA from 1 species
CUAAAAUAGUAAUUAAUUAUUUAUUGAAACUUAAAUAAUUUGGCGGUAUUUUAGUUCAUUUAGAGGAAUCUGUUUAAUAAUUGAUAAUCCACGAAUAAAUUUACUUAAUUUAAUAUUUUGUAUAUCGUUGUUAAAAAAAUAUUUUUAAAAAAAAUUAAUAUUUAAAAAUUGUAAAUUAAUUUAAAUCAGAUCAAGAUGCAGAUUAUAAUUAAGAAUAUAAUGGAUUACAAUAAAUUUAUUUAUACUGAUAUUAAUUUGUAAUAAUUAAUUGAGGGUGGAUUUAAAUGUAA